CUACGGGCUGCACCAGUAAGGAAUAUUGCGCAAUGGAGGCAACUCUGACGCAGCCAUGCCGCGUGCAGGAAGAAGGCCUUAUGGGUCGUAAACUGCUUUUAUUUAGGAAUAAACCCCCGAACGUGUUCGGGGCUGAAGGUACUAAACGAAUAAGCACCGGCUAACUCCGUGCCAGCAGCCGCGGUAAUACGGAGGGGGCAAGCGUUAUCCGAUGUAUUGGGUUUAAAGGGUGCGCAGGCGGGCUAUUAAGUCAGUGGUGAAAUCCCGGGGCUCAACUCCGGAACUGCCAUUGAUACUGAUAGUCUUGAGUUUGGUUGAAGUGGGCGGAAUGUAGCAUGUAGCGGUGAAAUGCAUAGAUAUGCUACAGAACACCAAUCGCGAAGGCAGCUCACUAAGCCAAAACUGACGCUCAUGCACGAAAGCGUGGGGAUCAAACAGGAUUAGAUACCCCUGUAGUC
rnacentral:rRNA from 1 species